GAUGAACGCUGGCGGCGUGCCUAAUACAUGCAAGUCGAGCGAACAGACGAGGAGCUUGCUCCUCUGACGUUAGCGGCGGACGGGUGAGUAACACGUUGAUAACCUACCUAUAAGACUGGGAUAACUUCGGGAAACCGGAGCUAAUACCGGAUAAUAUAUUGAACCGCAUGGUUCAAUAGUGAAAGACGGUUUUGCUGUCACUUAUAGAUGGAUCCGCGCCGCAUUAGCUAGUUGGUAAGGUAACGGCUUACCAAGGCAACGAUGCGUAGCCGACCUGAGAGGGUGAUCGGCCACACUGGAACUGAGACACGGUCCAGACUCCUACGGGAGGCAGCAGUAGGGAAUCUUCCGCAAUGGGCGAAAGCCUGACGGAGCAACGCCGCGUGAGUGAUGAAGGUCUUCGGAUCGUAAAACUCUGUUAUUAGGGAAGAACAAAUGUGUAAGUAACUAUGCACGUCUUGACGGUACCUAAUCAGAAAGCCACGGCUAACUACGUG
rnacentral:rRNA from 1 species